CAAACGCCGCGCCGUUUCAUUUGAUCAGUGCUAGCCAAAAAAAUGGUUCAAAACGAGGUUUUUUUGCCACGUAGAGUUUGAAAAGCGUUGAAACAUUCCUGGAAGUUUCGUCCCUUCCGUUUUCCCGAAAAGUGAAUUUAAAAAAGUGGGUUGACCCAUUUACAUGAUUCAACAUAAUAAGGUAAACAGACAUUUGAAUCACCUCCGAAGCGAGACUCCAUCAAGAGUAUAGCCAAACGCAUGGAAAUUUGAUUUUAACUUUAAAUGGCUAUGAUUCACCGCGUGUAUUUUGAUUUUGACAUAGCAAGAAACCAUAUCUACCGAAAGUGGCUAUUAACUUGGGGAUGAGGGAAAGUUUAAGACUGUUAACAUGUAUACACAAUGGGCUCAUCUAAGGACUAAGUUGAUAGCCGCAAAAGUCAUGGAAAUUGGCCUACUAGAACGGUGGAACAAACUGUGCCCAAAAAAUGAAAAAUUUUGGGCGUCAGAGAGCUUACUAGAGAGUAAUGCUAAUUCAAUCCUUCAGAGACAUUGAAAUAAUUUUCAAGGUUGCAAAUCUAAUGCAUUUUUUUUCCACAGACCGUCACAAAUCCGUACAUCCUGGUGAGGCCUAACUUGGGUUUCUUUUUCCCGGCUGUGAACCACGUGUAUUCGACUGUGAACAAGAUAGCAAUUACGAAAGGGCAAAGUCGAUUCCCAUUUGUAUUCGACUGUGUCAAUUUCAAGAGAGCCGACUAUACGGCUGUUAAGGGUCUCAUUCUUUUAAGCAAAGACUUCCAGAGGCGUGGCCAAGAACUUUAUUUCAUCAACGUAAGCAACAGCAUAGUGUCUUUCUGCGCAACGUUGAAGUCUCCUUUGAAAUGCUUCCGCGACAGGACGGAGAUGGAAUUAACGAUUUGCGGUUAGUUUAAUACAUUUUAUUAAAGGGUACGCCCCGCGCCCCGUGGUCGCUGUGCGGGCCCUCGUGAGUUAAUCUAAAUAGAGCGGACUCACCUAAAUAGAGACUCGAUUGUCACAAAAAUCAUACAAAUAGGCGCAGUAGGUCAAUCAAAUGAACUGUGACAAAAAAUGAACAUUUAUACAUCGUUGAAAAGAGAGAAUCAACUGCUUUAUCACGUAAUAUAAAAAAAAAAAAUUAGUCAUAUUUCCAAAAUCUGAACAGAACUGGCUUUUCUAAUGACUAUAUGGAUUACAUUUUGCAAAAAGGAACCACUAGCAUUGCAAUGAUGCUCAGGUUGUGCAACUUCAUCCUUUGCAAUAAAAUGGCGGAAAUUGUGAAAAACUAUGAAAUUUAGAUGGUAAUUUUAGUCUUAAAUUUACAGUUUUUAGCGAGUAAAAUAGAAAAUAUUAAGGGAUAAUCGGGUUUGUCCUCCAAGACAAAAGAAGUUGCACAAUCUUAGCAACAUUGCACUGCUAGUGG
rnacentral:lncRNA from 1 species